rnacentral:rRNA from 1 species
GUUUGGUUAAGUUAGAAAGGGCGCACGGUGGAUGCCUUGACACUAGGAGUCGAUGAAGGACGGGACUAACGCCGAUAUGCUUCGGGGAGCUGUAAGUAAGCUUUGAUCCGAAGAUUUCCGAAUGGGGAAACCCACCAUACGUAAUGGUAUGGUAUCCUUAUCUGAAUACAUAGGGUAAGGAAGACAGACCCAGGGAACUGAAACAUCUAAGUACCUGGAGGAA